UAAGCGGGGAAACAGUAGUUCCUUUAAGGUACGUGCUCUAACUGUAGAGCGUGGGGGGAAAGCUCUGGAAGGAAGUCACUGAGGUCGGGGUCCAGUUGUCUUGUUUGCAGACAGGGACCGAGUGCGCACCUGGGGAGCGGUAGGGAGAUGAGGUGUCGGGAUGCAGGUAGCCGGGUCUCCGGCCUCUAAGGAAGGCCUUCACAGCCACUCAAAAUAGACGAAUAGAGAUGGGGGAGCGUCUCGAAUCCCUCAGAGAGAGGGUGGCUGGGAAGCCGCCCUGGAGAGAAGACCACGGGGCGUCCUCCCCUGGCCCGCGGAUCCCCUGGCCCCAAGACAGAGUGUUUCUGAGGCUGCUGACCAGCUUCUGGGGCGGGACCAUCACAUAAUGAAUGAUCAAGCUCAAAAUUCAAGUUGCUGGUUUCCAAAAGGGAGAAGGAAUCCUUAUUUGAAUGAAGUCAGCACCGCAGUUGACCGGCCGCAAGGGACCCGUCAGGCUACUUGGAAAGUGGCGCGUUUCUCAACACUUGCUUGUCUUAACCCAGCUACUCACUAGUGUUUGCACCGCUGCUUUGAUCCCCACACACGAGCGUGGGCUCACGAGAGCACAAACCCACUGCAACUGCACCCUUCCUGGGGCAGCGCCUUCGUGCGUCUUAAUAAGCAAAUAAAUUCUUGCUGAGAAAAAGAACCGGUUCACCAUGUGAGGUCUCUGAAAUGCGGUCAGGCAGUUUGCGUCUCCUCUGAAAACUGGGUUUUCUGUGCCAUUAAGCGCGAACCGUACAAGUGAUUGACUCGGACCCUAUCCUCUCGGCGGGUCCCCUCAGCAAGCUGCGCCUCUGGGACAGCGGUGGAAAUACCAGGAGCUGGAGGAGGAGCUUCCUACAGAAAAAGCUCGUUCAGUUUUCUCCCAAUAGAUGGAUCUUGUACCAGUUUAGGAGCUGACCCCAGGCAGUACUUGGAAGAAAUGGCAGGAAGAGUGUCUCUGACAGUGACCAUCAAUCGUUUAGUCCUUGUGCUUCUCACGAAUAAGCCUGCCGUGAGCCUCAGCAAGCCAGUCAUGGGUCCGAGGGACUAAUUGUCUCUUUUUUUAAAGAUUGUUUGCUUGUUUAUUUAUUUAACAGAGAAAGAGACAGGGUGGGGCAUGAGGGGGGAGGCGAGGCAGAGGGAGCAGCAGACUCCCCGUGGAGCAGGGGGCCCUAGCCCAGCAUCAGGACCCCAGCCAAAGGCGACCAGGCGCCGCUGAUUGUCUCCCUCUCGCCGUCUGUCCUGUGGGACCGCUGCUCGCUCACGUGUCCGUUGCCAAAUAACAACAGAAAGUGGGAUCGCACGGUGAAAAGAGCAGCUGAGGUUCAACCCUCGACGAAAGCCCCCCAAACAGUAAGAGAGCCAGCUGACGCCGGAACCGCUCAGGACACUCACCACUAAGGAGGAUCUGAAUCUUCCCAGAGUGGAAACAUGUUCCUGUCCCACGGCGAGCGGUUCGACGCUGCUUGGGCCCGGGUGCUGGAUGCUUUCGGUCUUUACAGAUCAGUCAGCAAGAAGGAUUCCCUCUGCGUCAGGGUCUCCAAAGCCAUCCCCAGUCCUGAUGACUCGCUAGGAGGACUGAGCACACAGGCUAUCAGAGCGAUGAUUACAGCUGAAGGAUGCAGAGCAAGGGAACAGAUGACUUGCUUAUAGUUCCAAUGAAAAGGACAGAGCCUCUUCCCUAGAAAAACCUGCAAAUGUCCUAGGAAGUUUGCAUUUGACCUGGUGGGAUUAUCUGAAGGGACAACCAACAGCCUUUUUGUUUCACGAACAUUGAUGCUCCUAUGUCUCACCUGAUGAGUCCUCUCACCACGCUGAAGCAAGCCAGAUCUUCAUCCCAUCCCGCCCGCCAACGCUGGUUCUUGAUACAGUAAGACGCUGUGUGAGCUGUGGCUACGCCUACUCCAGAGAGCGCUGGUGUAUAUACGAUGCAGCCCCUCUUGGUUCUUGGCCAGGGUCAAGCCAACUGCAUUUCAUAACGAUCUACUUGUGGACUCUGACGAAGUGUUUCUGGGAGAUCAAUGUCCUGUAACCUCAGUCCAUCAAGGAUUUUAUGAGUUUCGAUACCAUCCCAAGGACUGUAACAUCAGGAUUGAGGUCCUCCCAGGGGAUCAUAUCCUUUUUGUAUCUGAAAUCAUCUUUAUAUCAAAGUUCUCGGAUCUUGAAGCUUCCAUCCCUGUGGCCUGCAUUGUCCCCCAGCAUCCAGCUCCUAUAAUAAUAACCACAGGAAGCAAUGCAAAUAAACAAGGUGGCCUCAAGAGAAGCCCAAGAAUGGCAAAUCUAUACAUUGGAGAAACUGUCAAUAGGAAAGAGAAGACAGCCAAGAAGGAAAAUUCUAAAUAUAUACAAUUAUACGUGUUACACACUGAAAUGUUACUCUCCCUGAAUGGAAAGAGCUGUGCGCUGGAGACGGACAACUAUGUUAAUGUGCAGUUUUGCUACUUAACAAACCACACGGCUCAUCCUUCUGCACCUGAGAAUUUGGGACGUGGCUAUGAAUCCCUAUAGCUGGGACAGGGGAACUGCGUGUUAGUAGCUGGACGCUGACUGAGGAGCCUGUGUAUUAUCUUACAUUUUUAAAUGUUUUAGAAGCCUUGAUUUUUAAUGGAAUGGCCCUUUGUUGUUUUA